rnacentral:tRNA from 1 species
CGCAGGGUGGUGAAAGUGGUGUCACGGGCGGCUCAUGCCCGCCAGAUCCGGGUUCGAGUCCCGGCCCUGCAACCA